rnacentral:rRNA from 1 species
GUGAUCUAGCCAUGGGCAGGUUGAAGGUUGGGUAACACUAACUGGAGGACCGAACCGACUAAUGUUGAAAAAUUAGCGGAUGACCUGUGGCUGGGGGUGAAAGGCCAAUCAAACCGGGAGAUAGCUGGUUCUCCCCGAAAGCUAUUUAGGUAGCGCCUCGUGAAUUCAUCUCCGGGGGUAGAGCACUGUUUCGGCUAGGGGGCCAUCCCGGCUUACCAACCCGAUGCAAACUGCGAAUACCGGAGAAUGCUAUCACGGGAGACACACGGCGGGUGCUAACGUCCGUCGUGAAGAGGGAAACAACCCAGACCGCCAGCUAAGGUCCCAAAGUCAUGGUUAAGUGGGAAACGAUGUGGGAAGGCCCAGACAGCCAGGAUGUUGGCUUAGAAGCAGCCAUCAUUUAAAGAAAGCGUAAUAGCUCACUGGUCGAGUCGGCCUGCGCGGAAGAUGUAACGGGGCUAAACCAUGCACCGAAGCUGCGGCAGCGAACGUAUCACCCAAGACAACUUUACGGAGUUGACGAUUGACGGAGCGAAGCGACGUCAAAGCGUUCAUUAAAGUCGAGUUGGCUUAGGGAUACGUUCGUUGGGUAGGGGAGCGUUCUGUAAGCCGUUGAAGGUGGCCUGUGAGGGUUGCUGGAGGUAUCAGAAGUGCGAAUGCUGACAUAAGUAACGAUAAAGCGGGUGAAAAGCCCGCUCGCCGGAAGACCAAGGGUUCCUGUCCAACGUUAAUCGGGGCAGGGUGAGUCGACCCCUAAGGCGAGGCCGAAAGGCGUAGUCGAUGGGAAACGGGUUAAUAUUCCCGUACUUGGUGUUACUGCGAAGGGGGGACGGAGAAGGCUAUGUUGGCCGGGCGACGGUUGUCCCGGUUUAAGCGUGUAGG